UUGACACUUAAAUUUAGUAUUAAUUUAUAAUUUGAAAAUAUAAAAUUGCAUUUGGACAACAUACACUAGCAAAUGCUGAAAGUAUUGACAAUGUUUUUGAAAAUAAAUAUUUUAAGGGAUUUCAGGAGAUUUGCAAUUGUGAUUAGUAUUUCACUUUUUCAUGCUGGCAGCAUCACUCGACCGUAUGAGUGUGUGUGUGUGCGUUUUGUGUUCCAUAGAAAUUUUGUGUGUGAAAAUUUGGCGAAGAAAAAUUGGAAUUUUGGUGAAAUUAUCGCAUAGAAAAACUGAAAAAUGUGCAGAAAACUAUAGCAGAAACUAUUUAAGUAUGAAGAUGUUGAAGUGAAGUGUGAAAUGGUGUUAUGAAAUGUCAAAAAUAUUGAGUGAGUGAGUGGAUUGAUUCUGCCUACGAUUGUCAGGGGCACUCGUUCAUUUUUCCCUUCGGUAGUAGAAUUGAAUAAUUUUCUCAACUUGAAUUAUGUGAAAAUCAACUAAAAACUUCAAAAGUGAAGACGAUUUUCAAUGAAAAGGGGAAGGGGAAUUUAGUUAGAAGUGAAUGUUAAUGUAAAGGAAAGCAAAAGUGUUGGAAGCAUAGAGAAAAGGAGAAAAAAGAACUGGUCGCUCCAUACAGCGAAGACAACAAAAGGCGAAGAACGAGUGGCAACAGUAAUAACAAUAACAACUGCCAGAACGUAAACAAGAACAAAGUUAUGAUUAAGGCGAAUUGUAAAUUUGUUGGAUGACAAUUGAUAGCAAGAAAGUGAGCAAAAAAGAAACGAAGAUAAGGAGUUGUAAAAGAAUUGGAGAAAACGACUAGCAGCUGGUAGCUCAGCCGUUAAUGCUGCUGCUGCGCUGCCUUAACUGUGCAUAAUAUUAUUUGUAUUCUGUAGCUUCGCUGCCUUGCGUCAUCGUAAACGUUGACGUUAACGUACGUUGUCGAACCCAUCCGUACUGUUGGUUUGUGCUAUCGCGCUUAUUCGUAGCACGCAAUCCCGUUUGGUCGCUUCUUGAUUUGUUUUGCAGUAGUGUUCGUUCGUGUUAUUGUCGUCGCGCAAUGUUCCAUGUUUCUCAUGUUUUGGUAGGGGGGCAAAUGAGAAAAAAAAUUAAUAAAUAAAAAGUAAAUCAAAUAUCCCCAACAUUCGUGAAAGGCCGCGCAGACAUCGAGGACGUGUUUGUAUUCAUCAACAACGGACAUAAACGAGUAGCUCAUCUCAUAAGACUUGAAACAUUAGUGUAGACCACUAAAUGGACAAAAUACAUAGUAAUUGUCGUGAUCGUCACCGUCGUCGUAAUAGUACGGGAAUAUCAGUCGGCAAUUAAUUUAAAAUAAAUUUAAAACAAUACGGGUUGAACACUGUAAGCAGACUUGUAAUAUAAUUGUACAUAUAUAUUCAUAAACAAUAACAUAUACAUAAGUAAAGUUAAUUAAAAACUUAAAUUUAUCUGCUAAUGGAUUAAUUUAGACACAUACGCACACACACACACAGACAUAAGA